UAUGUGAUCGUCUCUCGCAUAUCAAUAAGCGGAGGAAAAGAAACUAACAAGGAUUCCCCUAGUAACGGCGAGUGAAGCGGGAAGAGCUCAAAUUUGAAAUCUUAAAGGGUUUCCCUUUACGAAUUGUAGUUUAAAGAAGUGUUUUCUGUUGAGGUUUUGGUAAAAGUUCUUUGGAAUAGGACAUCAUAGAGGGUGAGAAUCCCGUAUUUGACCUUUACUUUCAACUUUGUGAUACACUUUCAAAGAGUCGGAUUGUUUGGGAAUGCAGUCCAAAAUGGGUGGUAAAUUUCAUCUAAAGCUAAAUAUUGGCGAGAGACCGAUAGCGAACAAGUACCGUGAGGGAAAGAUGAAAAGAACUUUGAAAAGAGAGUUAAACAGUACGUGAAAUUGUCAAAAGGGAAGCGUUUGACACCAGUGUUGUUUUUCUGGAAAUCAAUUAAAGAACUGUUUAUGCUAAGUUGUUUAGACUUUAUCAGCUAACUGUUUAGUUUUGAGCUUUUCUUUAAUGCACUUUUCAGUUAACAAGUCAACAUCAAUUUCUUUUGCUGUAAAAAAGCUUGAGGAAGGUGGCUUGAGAUUCGUCUUAAGUGUUUAUAGCCUCUUGCCUAUGCAGUCGGAGAGAUUGAGGUCUGCAGCGUAGAUCCUUCGGGGCUAAAUGCAUUUGUGCUAAGUUAUAGCAUUUUAUAGACAACUUGUUGACUAUGAUUUGUCUUGUAGCUUACUCGCUUAUGUUAUUUUACCUACGCUUAGGAUGUUGAGUAGCGACAUACGCAC
rnacentral:rRNA from 1 species